AGCGAACGCUGGCGGCAGGCUUAACACAUGCAAGUCGAGCGGGCACUUUCGGGUGUCAGCGGCUGACGGGUGAGUAACGCGUGGGAACGUGCCCUCUGGUUCGGAAUAACUCAGGGAAACUUGAGCUAAUACCGGAUACGCCCUUUUGGGGAAAGGCUUGCUGCCGGAGGAUCGGCCCGCGUCUGAUUAGCUAGUUGGUGAGGUAACGGCUCACCAAGGCGACGAUCAGUAGCUGGUCUGAGAGGAUGAUCAGCCACACUGGGACUGAGACACGGCCCAGACUCCUACGGGAGGCAGCAGUGGGGAAUAUUGGACAAUGGGCGCAAGCCUGAUCCAGCCAUGCCGGGUGAGUGAUGAAGGCCUUAGGGUUGUAAAGCUCUUUUAUCCGGGACGAUAAUGACGGUACCGGAGGAAUAAGCCCCGGCUAACUUCGUG
rnacentral:rRNA from 1 species